CAUCGUGUAAAACCUUAAAGUUAUAUGACUUCGCACCCUUAGAAGCACCCCUUUAAAACCUACCAGGCAUCGUUUCCUACUGUAACAGCACUGCGCGCAUGCGCGAUCAGCUUUCUCUACCGCACGUGCGCGACUCGACGCCAUUACUGCGUCGCCACGCAACAGCUUCGUUGCGCAAUAAACAGCGUUACCGCAACCUAAAAGGUCCGAAUAAAACUCGUAAUUACUUCCAAUACUGAUUCAUCUCUUCACGAUACAUCUCGUAUGCACGUAAUCUUCAUUCCGAAAAACUAAUUAAAGUUAGGCAAAUAAUAGAUUGCAUAGAUAGAGUCUAUACAAUAGUCGUGGCCAAUACAGAUUGCGCUGGUGCAGAAACUAACCUUUUGAACAAAAUUAUUGCCACACAUGGGAAGUAACGAAGACGUGGAAGAUAAACAAGAUGACGCUUCCGCGAGUUGGAGACAUUUGGAUGUCACGUUCCCCCAGGUGACUGAAAGAAAUCGAGGUUAAAGCGGCUGAUAUACGCUAAAGAGGCUCUCUCGCGCAAUCUCACGAUCGUAUGUUUUUUAAAGGCGAGCACGUGACGCCCAGCUACUCGGAGUCUCUUGUGUCGCCCGCGCCGCGCGUGACGAUAGAGAAUGCAAAAGUAGCGUCUCAUCGUUCGCGUUUGAUGCACUUUCUCGCGUCGCUAGAAUCGACGAAACUGAAACCCUGGAGACGGUUUUCGCAACCGCGUUAAUUAACGAGGACACGGGAAUGAAAGGAAAUUAACGUAACAAUCUGCGAUAGAGAUUACGCCUGCUUGAUAUUAAUCUAAACUCAGAUUUAAGGGCUCCUUAACACUUUAUGUACCAGGAUAUAGUUGCAGGAAUUAAUUAACUGCGUUGUUGGUCUACGUACAGUGGUCCAUUUAGAGAAAUAGACGAAUCUUUUGUUGUACAAAGUCUACGAUAGACUUUAAACUGUAAAUUGUUUCUAAGGUGACUGGUAAAUAGAGCAUUAGGAAGGCUUAACAGUUUGAGUAUAAUGUAAAUUGUGUAGAACCACAGCAUAAAUUGAAUUUACGUUACAGAAUCUUGGGCCGCCACUUUCUUCUAGAGAAUUAAAUUUUCUAGAAAAAAGUCUUAUGAAUCAAGCUUGUACAACCAAUACUUAUCGAAUUAAAUAGCUGCAUAAGAGUUGCUUACGAUAGGGCAUAGCUGAACGAUCAACUGUUGCAACGCGGAUUCGUACGAUUGUCCAACUGACAACUUCAUAAAAGGCCGAUGUUCCGUCGCCACGGAAAUGUCAAGAAUUGUUGCGAAACAAAACAACGCCGCUCCUGCGAGAUAAUUUGCCUUGUUGCUCGUAUAAUGGCCAGUCGUUAACGAUGGUUCGCGUCCAUCUCUCGCGGGAAUCCCACUUUCUAUCGAGCUUCGAACUCUAGAAGCUUACCAAACGUUCAGGAGUUCUUGUAACUAAAUUUAUUCGAACGUUUCUAGUUGAAAAAACAGCAAAU